UUAUCAGGAUAAUAUUGCUAGCGA
rnacentral:siRNA from 1 species